CACCUGCCGGACAUGUCGGAACCACCGGCUCGACUCGCCGGAACCAUUGCCGGACAUGCAAAAUCACCUUCCGGCUACGCCAGAAACACUUGCCGAACACUCCGGAAUCACCUGCUGGGCAUGGCGGAACCACCUCUCAGACAUGCCGGAACCACAUGCCAAUGACACCGGAAGCACCUGCCGAGCACGCCAGAACCACCUACUCGACUCGCCAAAACCACCUGCGGGACACGCCAAAAUCACCUGCCGGCUAGGCCACAACCAUUUGGUUAACUCUUCGGAAUCACAUGCCAGGCUGGCUGGAACCACCUGCCGGUACGCCAACAUCACCUGCCAGCUAUGACAGAACCACUUGGCGGACACCAUGGAAACACCUAUCGGGCCGGCCGGAACCACCUAUCAGACGUGCAAGAACCAUGUGCCUGAGAUGCCGGAACCACACCCCAACAGACCGAAACCACCUGCCAGACCCACCUGAACCACCUGCCGAGCACGCCGGAACCACCUACUCGACUCGCCGGAACCACCUACCUGACAUGCUAAAAUCACCUGCCGGGUCUGCCACAACCACUAGGUGGACACUCCGGAAUCAUCUGCCGGACAUGCCAGAACCAGCUAUCAGACACACCAGAACCACGUGCUGGACACGCCGGAAGCACCUGCUGAUCAUGCCUGAGCCAAAUGCUCGACUUGCAAGAAACACCUGCCAGACACGCCAAAAUCACCUCCCGGGUACGCCAGAACCACGUGGCAGACACUCCGGAAUCACCUGUCGGGCAUGCCGGAACCACCUCUCAGAGGUGCCAGAACCACAUGCCGGACACUCCGGAAUCACCUGCCGGGCAUGCUGGAACCAUCUCUCAGACGUGCCAGAACCUCAUGCCGGUCACGCCAGAACCACCUGCCGGACACGCUGGAACCACCGGCUCGACUCGCCGGAACCAUCGCCGGACAUGCAAAAUGACCUGCCGGCUACGCCCAGAACCACUUGUCGAACACUCCGGAAUCACCUGCCGGGCAUGGCGGAACCACCUCUCAGAUAUGCCGGAACCACAUGUCAAUGACACCGGAAGAACCUGCCGAGCACGCCAGAACCACCUGCUCGACUCGCCAAAACCACCUUCUGGACACGCCAAAAUCACCUGCCG
rnacentral:lncRNA from 1 species